rnacentral:piRNA from 1 species
UACAUCUCUUAGUGCCAAAUAGUCACAUA